GCGCGUGCAUGCAUAGAAGAAAAGAAAGACAAAUAAACGUGGGAGCAGUUAAAACUCAGGUUAGUAUGUCUGACACGUGGGGGAAGGUUUAGUGAUGCAACUAAGAGGGGAGAAGCCACAUGAACCCCAUCCAUUUUUGUUCUCACUCAUUCAUUCAUUGCUUACUCAGUACUCAGUAUCUUACAUCAUAUCUUACUCUACCCAUUCUCUUCUUCUUCUAUCAUAUCAACCUCAAUUAAUUCUUCAGUCCAAAAAAAUAAAAAAUAGCAUGUGUGUGGACUUAAUAUAAUUAUAGACAUUUUCCUUCCAAGAUGUAAUAUAAAAUAAACUAAUUCAAACGUAGACGGACACAGACAGCAUUACAAUGAUAAUACACAACAUGUCAACAUGGAUUGCAUGUUGUACGGAUGUCGACAUUUUCA
rnacentral:lncRNA from 1 species